GUUAUUUGUGCUGGGUCAAAAUUCUGGGUUGUUUGAGGUACUGUAAACACAUAGUUGGGUUGAUCAUGCUGGGUCAAAUGGACUUUCACCACUGAACACGCGGGUUGGGUUAUUUUAACCCAACCAGUUUGUUUAUUUUUCCACUUCAUCGAACUUUCUGGAUUCUUCACUCCUCUCCUCGUCAGGCGGUCACGAAAUUCGCAGCAAGCAGGAUUAUACGAUAUGUGAGAUUCUUGCUGGUGCAGAUGGACAGCUUUGUAAUGGAGAAGUUGAAGGAAAGGCAGCUUUAUACCCUGGUUAAAAUCUUUGAAGAUUUCACAAGACUUCAGGAAGCUACAUCCAGAGGCAGACUUUUUGUAGACUGGGCUACAUUUGCAAGAUGGAAAGGUGCAUUAAGAGCUGGGUGACAUGACGUCAG